rnacentral:rRNA from 1 species
GGGACAAGCCCUGGAAACGGGGUCUAAUACCGGAUAUGACUGUCCAUCGCAUGGUGGAUGGUGUAAAGCUCCGGCGGUGCAGGAUGAGCCCGCGGCCUAUCAGCUUGUUGGUGAGGUAGUGGCUCACCAAGGCGACGACGGGUAGCCGGCCUGAGAGGGCGACCGGCCACACUGGGACUGAGACACGGCCCAGACUCCUACGGGAGGCAGCAGUGGGGAAUAUUGCACAAUGGGCGAAAGCCUGAUGCAGCGACGCCGCGUGAGGGAUGACGGCCUUCGGGUUGUAAACCUCUUUCAGCAGGGAAGAAGCGAAAGUGACGGUACCUGCAGAAGAAGCGCCGGCUAACUACGUGCCAGCAGCCGCGGUAAUACGUAGGGCGCAAGCGUUGUCCGGAAUUAUUGGGCGUAAAGAGCUCGUAGGCGGCUUGUCACGUCGGUUGUGAAAGCCCGGGGCUUAACCCCGGGUCUGCAGUCGAUACGGGCAGGCUAGAGUUCGGUAGGGGAGAUCGGAAUUCCUGGUGUAGCGGUGAAAUGCGCAGAUAUCAGGAGGAACACCGGUGGCGAAGGCGGAUCUCUGGGCCGAUACUGACGCUGAGGAGCGAAAGCGUGGGGAGCGAACAGGAUUAGAUACCCUGGUAGUCCACGCCGUAAACGGUGGGCACUAGGUGUGGGCAACAUUCCACGUUUGUCCGUGCCGCAGCUAACGCAUUAAGUGCCCCGCCUGGGGAGUACGGCCGCAAGGCUAAAACUCAAAGG